GAUGAAGAACGUAGCGAAAUGCGAUAAGUAAUGUGAAUUGCAGAAUUCAGUGAAUCAUCGAAUCUUUGAACGCACAUUGCGCCCCUUGGUAUUCCGAGGGGCAUGCCUGUUCGAGCGUCAUUACAACCCCUCAAGCUCUGCUUGGUGUUGGGGCCUGCCGCACCGGCAGCCCUUAAAAUCAGUGGCGGUGCCAUCUGGCUCUAAGCGUAGUAAUUCUUCUCGCUAUAGAGUCCCGGUGGAUGCUUGCCAUUAACCCCCAAUUUUCUAUGGUUGACCUCGGAUCAGGUAGGGAUACCCGCUGAACUUAAGCAUAUCAAUAAGCGGAGGA
rnacentral:misc_RNA from 1 species